AAUAGAUACCCCGGUAGUCCACGCCGUAAACGAUGAGUGCUAAGUGUUAGAGGGUUUCCGCCCUUUAGUGCUGCAGCAAACGCAUUAAGCACUCCGCCUGGGGAGUACGGCCGCAAGGCUGAAACUCAAAGGAAUUGACGGGGGGCCCGCACAAGCGGUGGAGCAUGUGGUUUAAUUCGAAGCAACGCGAAGAACCUUACCAGGUCUUGACAUCCUCUGACACUCCUAGAGAUAGGACGUUCCCCUUCGGGGGGACAGAGUGACAGGUGGUGCAUGGUUGUCGUCAGCUCGUGUCGUGAGAUGUUGGGUUAAGUCCCGCAACGAGCGCAACCCUUGAUCUUAGUUGCCAGCAUUCAGUUGGGCACUCUAAGGUGACUGCCGGUGACAAACCGGAGGAAGGUGGGGAUGACGUCAAAUCAUCAUGCCCCUUAUGACCUGGGCUACACACGUGCUACAAUGGAUGGUACAAAGGGCAGCAAAGCCGCGAGGUCGAGCAAAUCCCGAUAAAACCAUUCUCAGUUCGGA
rnacentral:rRNA from 1 species